GACACUCAUCCAACAGGGCCGUGUCACCAGGCAACCCAGCAGCUAACCGUGGCUUCCGGAAUGAGCCAGGAACCUGUCUCGGCUUGAGACAGUGCCCAGAUCACACAUCCAUGCUCUUGGCAAGCAGCUGUUGGAGUCAACAACCUCAGUCGCAGCACUGACAUUCUAGACUCCAGCUUCGCCAUGGUAACGUCUGUGAGGUCUCCAGUCUAUCUGUCAUCCUCCCAACCCAAUCCAUCCCUGCACGGAAGAACGGAGACCUGAUUCAGUCCAAGACUGUCACAUGUAUGCCAAAGUUUGAAGAAUGGCUGGCCAUAUCCACUCGGCUAGUGGAUUCCUGACUGCAGCCUAUAAAAGGGGCAAAGCACCCAUUUGCUACUGGACCUCUUCUCUCUUCCCCUACCUGCAGAACUAUUGGAUACCUUCCUUCCUCUCUGAAGCAGAGAGCCAAAUGCCAGCAUCGUGUCUGUAUGAACCUCUGCUAUGAUGACAACUGCUCUUCUGUGCCUUCCUUGCCAGGAGAGACUGAGUGCUUUAAAACCAUGUUCAAAAAGAAGUCCUUGUUUCUGUUGGUGGGGGGCGGGGGUCACAGUGAUACAAUGUAACCAAUACAGUCAGGAUAGCAGAUAUACUUACAGGAGAAAUAAUCAGAGUCAAGACAUUUACCUCA